rnacentral:rRNA from 1 species
AUCAGAUACCGCCCUAGUUCUGACCGUAAACGAUGCCAACUAGCGAUCCGCCAGUCGACUCAUCGCUCUGGUGGGGAGCUUCCCGGAAACGAAAGUCUUCCGGUUCCGGGGGAAGUAUGGUUGCAAAGCUGAAACUUAAAGGAAUUGACGGAAGGGCACUACCAGGAGUGGAGCCUGCGGCUUAAUUUGACUCAACACGGGGAAACUCACCCGGCCCGGACACCGUAAGGAUUGACAGAUUGAUAGCUUUUUCAUGAUUCGGUGGAUGGUGGUGCAUGGCCGUUCUUAGUUCGUGGAGCGAUUUGUCUGGUUUAUUCCGAUAACGAGCGAGACUCUGGCCUACUAAAUAGUUGACGCAUUGCCACUGUGCGCACAACUUCUUAGAGGGAUUUUCGGUGUUUUCAACCGCACGAAAUUGAGCAAUAACAGGUCUGUGAUGCCCUUAGAUGUCCGGGGCUGCACGCGCGCUACACUGGCAAACGCAACGUGCCUGUCCUGCCCCGAAAGGAGCGGGUAAACCCCUGAAAUUUUGCCGUGAUUGGGAUCGGACAUUGCAACUAUUGUCCGUGAACGAGGAAUUCCUUGUAGGGGCGAGUCAUCAACUCGUCCCGAAUACGYCCUGCCCUUUGUA